ensembl:lincRNA
AUGGACAGAGAGCAUGAGGUGAUGCACGGCCCCAUCAGACGCAGGGGACCCUGGUCUCUGGGGAGUGUCCUUAGACUCAGGUCCUCACUGAGGCAUCAGAGAUCUCAGUCCCCCCGAGCUCAGCUUACUCAUGCCCUUGUGCAGGAGCAUCAGCAGACUCCAUAUAGCCCGGGCCCUGCAGGGCGCCACAGGCAGCGGGAGAGGAGAGCAAGUCAGCGAGGAAGCAGGGCCUCUGGGUGCAGCAGAGAGAAGGGAAAGGCUGGUCAGGGCCUGCUGGGCCUGAGGGCUGCUCUUAGGCAGCCCGGCACUCAGGGCACAGGCGAGAGACGCAUGGACAGAGAGCAUGAGGUGAUGCACGGCCCCAUCAGACGCAGGGGACCCUGGUCUCUGGGGAGUGUCCUUAGACUCAGGUCCUCACUGAGGCAUCAGAGAUCUCAGUCCCCCCGAGCUCAGCUUACUCAUGCCCUUGUGCAGGAGCAUCAGCAGACUCCAUAUAGCCCGGGCCCUGCAGGGCGCCACAGGCAGCGGGAGAGGAGAGCAAGUCAGCGAGGAAGCAGGGCCUCUGGGUGCAGCAGAGAGAAGGGAAAGGCUGGUCAGGGCCUGCUGGGCCUGAGGGCUGCUCUUACCGACUGGUCCGUGGUGAGGGGGGUGUAACCAGUCAUGAGGAAGUGGAGCCGUGGCGUGGGAAUGAGCGAGGCGAUGAGGCCAAUGAGGUCGUUGUUCAUGUAGCCAGGGUAGCGCAGGGUGGUGGUGCUGGCUGACAUGAUGGUGGACACCUGGGGACAGUGUGCCGGGUCAUGGGCCUUGUCCUGGGGGCCUCCCUUCCCUAGAUGGUGCUUCGGGAAGGAGGGAGUCCAGGAGCGGGGGGCUCACCAGCUGGUUGAUCUGGGAGAAUGAGGGAUUCUGGAUGUGCAGGCGGUCUGUGGCAAUCCGGUUCAGGGCUGUGUUGUCCAGCACCACCUGGGGGGACAGAAGAGAGUGUCAGACUUAGGAGGACAGAAAGGACAGGAGCUCUGCCUGAGUCUGGGCUAUGACGGUUCAUUUCCCUGGUGCUUCAUGGCUAGAAAGACCCAUCCAAAAAGAGACUUGAACAAGACUGGGGCACAGGAAGGUUCAAAAUGGGACUUUUAAAAAUGCAUGAAAAGGAUGAAAUAGACAGGGGGGCUGGGACUGGAGUAAGGGAGACUCCAGGACUUACCACACAGUCAGCGUUCUGGGUCAGCCUCUUGAGCGUGAGCAGUGAGUUGUAGGGCUGGACCACCACAUCGCUCAUCUCAUCCUGGUUGGGAAACACUGAGUAUGUCUGCACCAGCUUCUUGGGGUACCUAGUGGUGUUUGCGAAAGGAUGGUCAAGGGCAACAGACUAGAGGCUUGGUAAACUUGGGGCUUCUAGUGACUGUCAGGAUGGGGAAAUUGGGGUUCGGGUCAUAGGACAGCAGAGAAGGGAGACCUGACUUUUGGCAGUCUGUAACCCAAAAGGGGGGAAGGGCAGAGAGACAUCUUAGGACCUAGAGUUUUAAUUCCAAAUCAGGCUUACUCCCUGAAUCUUCAUCAAAGAUCAGGAUUCUAGACUCUGGUUCCAACCACUAGGAGUGUGAUUGGGUUCCUGGUCAUUGUACCUUUCCUUCCUCAAUACAGCAGGGAACGGAAGGGCCCUUUCCUGCUCCAGUGAAUGGGAAGGUUUUAUCUGGAGGGCCUCCCAGUCACCUGGGAAACCAAAUCCUCUCUGCCCUUCAAAACAGACUUACCUGUCAUUGAGCCGUUCUAAGAGGUAGGAGCCCAGGCCAGAGCCUGUUCCCCCAGCGAUGGAGUGACACAGCACGAAGCCCUGCAUGGGGAAGGGGCGGUCAGUAUCUAGGUUUCAAGUGGCAGGAUUUCCAAUUUUACCCAUCUCAUAACUUCUUGGACUCCUAUCUUCCCAAGACCUCUCCUCCACUUCCCUGCCCCCACCGCCCCCCCCCCCCCCACAAUAGACGACUCCUCGUUUUUUCCACAAAAGCCCCGC